rnacentral:rRNA from 1 species
AAUAUUGGACAAUGGGCGAAAGCCUGAUCCAGCCAUGCCGCGUGUGUGAAGAAGGCCUUCGGGUUGUAAAGCACUUUCGGUCGGGAGGAAAUGGUGUAGGUUAAUACUCUGCGCGGAUGACGGUACCGACAGAAUAAGCACCGGCUAACUACGUGCCAGCAGCCGCGGUAAUACGUAGGGUGCAAGCGUUAAUCGGAAUUACUGGGCGUAAAGCGCGCGUAGGCGGUUCAUUAAGUUGGGUGUGAAAGCCCCGGGCUUAACCUGGGAACUGCAUUCAAAACUGGCCAGCUAGAGUACGGUAGAGGGUGGUGGAAUUUCCUGUGUAGCAGUGAAAUGCGUAGAUAUAUGAAGGAACACCGGUGGCGAAGGCGACCACCUGGACCGAUACUGACGCUGAUGUGCGAAAGCGUGGGUAGCAAACAGG